rnacentral:ncRNA from 2 species
CUUCACUCAACGGGGAGCUGUUAUGAGUUGCUGGGUCUAAUACCAGUAUUCUUGUGUUCGGCUGAGAUCAAUGUUGGAACCCGUCGACCUGAACCAGAUAAUACUGGCGUAGGAAUUGAGCACUAACAUUCA